rnacentral:rRNA from 1 species
UACGGAGGGUGCAAGCGUUGCUCGGAAUCAUUGGGCGUAAAGCGUACGCAGGCUGUUUGUUAAGUCGGGUGUGAAAGCCCGGGGCUCAACCCCGGAACGGCGCCCGAAACUGGCAAGCUUGAAUGCGGGAGAGGGAAGCGGAAUUCCUGGUGUAGAGGUGAAAUGCGUAGAUAUCAGGAGGAACACCGGUGGCGAAAGCGGCUUCCUGGCCCGACAUUGACGCUCAUGUACGAAAGCGUGGGGAGCAAACAGG